AUAUACUGAUUGUAUUUAGGAGUUAUUUGGUUGGAUGUAAUUGUAAAAAUAGCAUAAUUGGAAGUAAAUACAGUUACAAAUGCUGCAAUCACAACUACACCUAGUCUGUUUGGUUUUAUACAGUUGCAAUUGCUGCAGUUAUAUUUUUUUUGUUUGGUAAGUUGCAGUUGAGAUUUGUAUUUGUAAAUUCUGUUAAUUUUUAGAUAGAAAGGCGAGAUUGCCUCUUCUAAACAUAACGUAAUCAUGAGAUCUUUUAGUUAUUAAUUAAGACUUUUAUAUCUAUAUAUAAUUUAUAUAUUAUAAAAUUAUGUAUGAAUUUAAUGAAUUUUAAAUGCAAGCAUAUUAUAGAUUUGGUCAAAAUAAAAAUUAAGAUAUUAUUAAAUAGAAGACUGAGAAAAAAAGAAGCGUAUAAAAAAAUUUAUUUAACCUUAACAGAUAUUAUUAAACCCUAGCAAAUUUCAUGAAUAUGUAUUUUUGGAAAAAAAAAAAGUUAAAAAAAAAACGUAUGAAAAAAAAAAUCAUACUUUAUUUAUUUUUUUAAUGGGUGAGCCGACUCUCGCCCAACUGCUGCAAUUCGAUCUUCUAAUGUAGAUGCAACUGUAGCAAUUAGGCCUAACUAUGUACUAAACCAAACAAAAAUUUAAUAGAUGCAUGCCUUUUCAACUGCAGUGCAGUUGAAAAUAUAUGCAACCAAACAAUCCCUAAUAAGUGCAAUUGGUUAAGAACUUGACAGUUUCUGUCCGAAAAGUUUGAUAAUUGAUAUUUAUAUUUUCAAGUUCGAAAACUAGUUACUUCAUAUUCUUAAUUAUGUUUGUUUUCAAAAUAUGAAUGAGAUAAAUAAUUUGUUACCUU
rnacentral:lncRNA from 1 species